GAGUUUGAUCCUGGCUCAGAUUGAACGCUGGCGGCAUGCCUUACACAUGCAAGUCGAACGGCAGCACGGGAGCUUGCUCCUGGUGGCGAGUGGCAAACGGGUGAGUAAUGCAUCGGAACGUAUCCUGGAGUGGGGGAUAACGUAGCGAAAGUUACGCUAAUACCGCAUAUUCUGUGAGCAGGAAAGCGGGGGACCUUCGGGCCUCGCGCUCUUGGAGCGGCCGAUGUCGGAUUAGCUAGUUGGUGAGGUAAAGGCUCACCAAGGCGACGAUCCGUAGCAGGUCUGAGAGGAUGAUCUGCCACACUGGAACUGAGACACGGUCCAGACUCCUACGGGAGGCAGCAGUGGGGAAUUUUGGACAAUGGGGGCAACCCUGAUCCAGCCAUGCCGCGUGAGUGAAGAAGGCCUCGGUUGUAAGAC
rnacentral:rRNA from 1 species